UACGUAGGGGGCAAGCGUUGUCCGGAAUCAUUGGGCGUAAAGAGCGUGUAGGCGGCCAGAUAAGUCCGCUGUGAAAUCUCGAGGCUCAACUUCGAGCUGUCGGUGGAAACUGUCUGGCUAGAGUCCGGAAGAGGAGAAUGGAAUUCCUGGUGUAGCGGUGAAAUGCGCAGAUAUCAGGAAGAACACCCGUGGCGAAGGCGGUUCUCUGGGACGGUACUGACGCUGAGACGCGAAAGCGUGGGAGCGAACAGG
rnacentral:rRNA from 1 species